rnacentral:rRNA from 1 species
AUGGGACAUUUUGGCGUCAAGAAGACGGAGGAUAUACUUGCUACACAUUUCUUUUGGCCAAAGAUGAGACGGGAUGUUGAGUGUUUUAUUGCUCGCUGCACUACAUGUCAAAAAGCUAAGUCACGACUCAAUCCUCAUGGUUUAUAUAUGCCUUUGCCUGUACCUAGUGUUCCUUGGGAGGAUAUAUCUAUGGACUUUGUUUUAGGUUUACCUCGAACAAAGAAGGGGAGGGAUAGCAUAUUUGUUGUCGUGGAUAGAUUCUCGAAAAUGGCACACUUUAUACCAUGUCAUAAAAGCGAUGAUGCUGUUAAUGUUGCUGAUUUGUUCUUUCGUGAAAUUAUUCGCUUGCAUGGUGUGCCAAAUACUAUUGUUUCAGAUCGUGAUACUAAAUUUCUUAGCCACUUUUGGAGAUGUUUAUGGGCUAAGGUGGGGACUAAACUGCUUUUUAGUACUACUUGUCACCCCCAAACUGAUGGACAAACUGAAGUAGUCAAUAGAACGUUGUCUACUAUGCUUAGGGCUGUUUUGAAGAAUAAUAAGAAAAUGUGGGAGGAAUGCUUGCCUCAUAUUGAAUUUGCUUAUAAUCGUUCAUUGCAUUCUACUACUAAGAUGUGCCCUUUUGAAGUUGUGUAUGGUUUCCUACCUCGUGCACCUAUUGAUUUGUUGCCUCUUCCAUCUUCGGAGAAGGUUAAUUUUGAUGCUAAACAACGUGCUGAAUUGAUUUUAAAAAUGCAUGAGUUAACUAAGGAAAACAUUGAGCGCAUGAAUGCUAAAUAUAAACUUGCUGGAGAUAAGGGUAGAAAACAUGUUGUGUUUGCACCUGGAGAUCUUGUUUGGUUACAUUUGCGUAAGGAUAGAUUUCCUAAUUUGCGCAAAUCAAAGUUAAUGCCACGUGCUGAUGGUCCCUUUAAGGUGUUAGAGAAAAUAAAUGAUAAUGCAUAUAAACUUGAGCUGCCUGCAGAUUUUGGGGUUAGUCCCACUUUUAACAUUGCAGAUUUGAAGCCUUAUUUGGCUGAGGAAGAUGAACUUCCGUCGAGGACGACUUCAUUUCAAGAAGGGGAGGAUGAUGAGGACAUCAAUACAAUUGUUACACCCACAGCCCCUGCUGCUAUACAUACUGGACCAAUUACUAGAGCUCGUGCACGCCAACUAAAUUACCAGGUACUUUCGUUUCUUGAUAAUGAUUCUAUUGUUCAUGAGAAUAUGAUGCUGCCUAAAUUGGAUACAUUUGUUUUGCUUACAAAUGAAGGG